rnacentral:rRNA from 1 species
AAAAGCGUAGUCGAUGGAAAACAGGUUAAUAUUCCUGUACUUCUGGUUAUUGCGAUGGAGGGACGGAGAAGGCUAGGCCAGCUUGGCGUUGGUUGUCCAAGUUUAAGGUGGUAGGCUGAGAUCUUAGGUAAAUCCGGGAUCUUAAGGCCGAGAGCUGAUGACGAGUGUUCUUUUAGAACACGAAGUGGUUGAUGCCAUGCUUCCAAGAAAAGCUUCUAAGCUUCAGGUAACCAGGAACCGUACCCCAAACCGACACAGGUGAUCAGGUAGAGAAUACUAAGGCGAUCGAGAGAAUCAUGGUUAAGGAACUCGGCAAAAUGCCCCCGUAACUUCGGGAGAAGGGGGGCCCCG